rnacentral:rRNA from 1 species
ACUCAAAUGAAUAGACGGGGACCCGCACAAGCGGUGGAGUAUGUGGCUUAAUUCGAUGCAACGCGAAGAACCUUACCUGGGCUUGACAUGUAUUGUAACCCCGGUGAAAGCCGGGCAGCGUGGAAACACGCGCUUUACACAGGUGCUGCAUGGCUGUCGUCAGCUCGUGUCGUGAGAUGUUGGGUUAAGUCCCGCAACGAGCGCAACCCUUAUGAUUUGUUGCCACCGGCAUUCGCCGAGCACUCAAGUCAGACUGCCCAGAUUAACUGGGAGGAAGGUGGGGAUGACGUCAAGUCCGUAUGGCCCUUACGUCCAGGGCUGCACACGUACUACAAUGUCCAGUACAAAAUGAUCUGAAGCUGCGAAGCGGAAGAAAUCACGAAAACUGGGCUCAGUUCAGAUUGCAGGCUGCAACUCGCCUGCAUGAAGUCGGAAUCGCUAGUAAUGGUACAUCAGCAACGGUACCGUGAAUACGUUCCCGGGUCUUGUACACACCGCCCGU